rnacentral:rRNA from 1 species
CGCGUGGGGGCUCGAAGGUUUUUGGAUCGUAAACCCCUUUUGUCAAGGAAGAAGCUCUGACGGUACUUGACGAAUAAGCCUCGGCUAACUCCGUGCCAGCAGCCGCAGUAAUACGGAGGAGGCAAGCGUUAUCCGGAAUGAUUGGGCGUAAAGCGUCUGUAGGUGGCCAGCUAAGUCUGCUGUUAAAGAUCACAGCUCAACUGUGGGAAGGCAGUGGAAACUGGCAAGCUAGAGGUUGGUAGGGGUAAAGGGAAUUCCCGGUGUAGCGGUGAAAUGCGUAGAUAUCGGGAAGAACACCGGUGGCGAAAGCGCUUUACUGGGCCAGACCUGACACUGAAGGACGAAAGCUAGGGGAGCGAAAGGGAUUAGAUACCCCUGUAGU